rnacentral:rRNA from 1 species
CAGCAGCCGCGGUAAUACGUAGGUGGCAAGCGUUGUCCGGAAUUAUUGGGCGUAAAGCGCGCGCAGGCGGAUAGGUCAGUCUGUCUUAAAAGUUCGGGGCUUAACCCCGUGAUGGGAUGGAAACUGCCAAUCUGGAGUAUCGGAGAGGAAAGUGGAAUUCCUAGUGUAGCGGUGAAAUGCGUAGGUAUUAGGAAGAACACCAGUGGCGAAGGCGACUUUCUGGACGAAAACUGACGCUGAGGCGCGAAAGCCAGGGGAGCGAACGGGAUUAGAUACCCGUGUAGUCCCUGUCUCUUAUACA